UUCUAUGGCCAUGCCACCCUGAACAAGCCUGAUCCUGUCUGAUCUCAGAAGCUAAACAGGGUCGGGCCUGGUUAUUACUUGGAUGGGAGAUCAUCUAGGAAGACCAGGUGCUGUAGGUG
rnacentral:rRNA from 1 species